rnacentral:rRNA from 1 species
UCGGCUUAGAGUUUGAUCCUGGCUCAGAUUGAACGCUGGCGGCAGGCCUAACACAUGCAAGUCGAGCGGUAGGGAAGCUUGCUUCUCACGAGCGGCGGACGGGUGAGUAAUGUAUGGGGAUCUGCCCGAUAGAGGGGGAUAACUACUGGAAACGGUGGCUAAUACCGCAUAAUCUCUGAGGAGCAAAGCAGUUCGUUGCGCUAUCGGAUGAACCCAUAUGGGAUUAGCUAGUAGGUGAGGUAAUGGCUCACCUAGGCGACGAUCCCUAGCUGGUCUGAGAGGAUGAUCAGCCACACUGGGACUGAGACACGGCCCAGACUCCUACGGGAGGCAGCAGUGGGGAAUAUUGCACAAUGGGCGCAAGCCUGAUGCAGCCAUGCCGCGUGUAUGAAGAAGGCCUUAGGGUUGUAAAGUACUUUCAGUCGGGAGGAAGGCGUUAAUGUAA